rnacentral:rRNA from 1 species
GAUGAACGCUGGCGGCGUGCCUAAUACAUGCCAGUAGAACGCUGAAGGAAGGAGCUUGCUCUUUCCGGAUGAGUUGCGAACGGGUGAGUAACGCGUAGGUAACCUGCCUGGUAGCGGGGGAUAACUAUUGGAAACGAUAGCUAAUACCGCAUAACAGUAGAUGUUGCAUGAUAUCUACUUAAAAGGUGCAAUUGCACCACUACCAGAUGGACCUGCGUUGUAUUAGCUAGUUGGUGAGGUAACGGCUCACCAAGGCGACGAUACAUAGCCGACCUGAGGGGGUGAUCGGCCACACUGGGACUGAGACACGGCCCAGACUCCUACGGGAGGCAGCAGUAGGGAAUCUUCGGCAAUGGACGGAAGUCUGACCGAGCAACGCCGCGUGAGUGAAGAAGGUUUUCGGAUCGUAAAGCUCUGUUGUAAGAGAAGAACGAGUGUGAGAGUGGAAAGUUCACACUGUGACGGUAUCUUACCAGAAAGGGACGGCUAACUACGUG